rnacentral:rRNA from 1 species
GACGAACGCUGGCGGCGUGCUUAACACAUGCAAGUCGAACGAAGAGCGAUGGAAGCUUGCUUCUAUCCAUCUUAGUGGCGAACGGGUGAGUAACGCGUAAUCAACCUGCCCUUCAGAGGGGGACAACAGUUGGAAACGACUGCUAAUACCGCAUACGAUCUAAUCUCGGCAUCGAGGAUAGAUGAAAGGUGGCCUCUACAUGUAAGCUAUCACUGAAGGAGGGUAUUGCGUCUGAUUAGCUAGUUGGAGGGGUAACGGCCCACCAAGGCGAUGAUCAGUAGUCGGUCUGAGAGGAUGAACAGCCACAUUGGGACGGAGACACGGCCCAGACUGCUACAGGAGGCAGCAGUGGGGAAACGUGCGCAAUGGGCGAAAGUCUGACGGAGCAACGCCGCGUGAGUGAUGACGGCCGUCGGGUUGUAAAGCUCUGUUAAUCGGGACGAAAGGCCUUCUUGCGAAUAGUGAGAAGGAUUGACGGUACCGGAAUAGAAAGCCACGGCUAACUACGUG